rnacentral:lncRNA from 1 species
GUUCUAAUGUCAAGCUAAUUCUAUUUCUUGGUCUUAAAUUCUUAUCUUCUAUAUAGUCCCUGUUGUUCUUGUUGUGUUCAAGCUUCAUUAUACCAAAGCAAUUGAAUUAAUAGAAGUAGGUUCGAAUAUAGGAAAAGACUAAUUAUAUGAAUUGAGUCUGUUAAUGUCACAAUUGACUCUACUCUAGCUAUCUAAAAUCAAUUAUCAAACUACAAAACAUCAAGGCUUACUACUUUCGUCUUAAUUCAACACAUAAUCCAUUCUAUAACUAUCAAUUCAACAAUACUUCUAUAUUCUUAUCAAUUCAUCUCCCACUUACUUUCUUUGCGAUUUAUAUAUAUUCAAUUAUUGAUCUCCAACUUAUUUAUUAUAUUCAAUUUUUCAAUUCAACAGACAAAAUUCAAUAUCUUCACUUAACACAACACAAUUCGAUAAUUUGAAUUCUCAAGGUCAAAGAUUUUUUCCAAAACGGUCAGUCUAAAGUCAUAUUUCACAAUAUUCUAAUCACAGUUUCAAUAGUACUUCUCUCAAUCACAAUUCUUCAUAAGAAAAUAAUAAAAGCAAAGAAAAUAAAGAGGUAGCUCCAAGCUUAUUUCAGCUUACAACUAUCAUAGUCUGGCUCCGAUCUCCCUUUUUCAACCUCUUUAUCCUACCAAAAGAUGGACCAUUGGCCAGCAGAUUCCAAAGGUUAUGAACCUUUGAAUUCUUAACCAUUUGUUCUACUAACAACCUACUGUUACCAACUAAACUACCUAAGUAUAAGUCUAAUUCUUAAGGUUAUCAAUAACCAAUUGGUAACUUACUAAAAAAUUUAU